GAUGAACGCUAGCGACAGGCCUAACACAUGCAAGUCGAGGGGCAGCAUGAAAUUAGCUUGCUAAUUUUGAUGGCGACCGGCGCACGGGUGAGUAACACGUAUGCAACCUGCCUGUAAGCGGGGGAUAACCCGGAGAAAUUCGUACUAAUAUCGCAUAAUAUCAUUAAUUCGCAUGUGUUAAUGUUUAAAAAUUUAUUGAUUACAGAUUGGCAUGAGUAUGAUUAGCUAGAUGGCGGGGUAACGGCCCACCAAGGCGACGAUCAUUAGGGGUUCUGAGAGGAAGGUCCCCCACAUUGGAACUGAGACACGGUCCAAACUCCUACGGGAGGCAGCAGUGAGGAAUAUUGGUCAAUGGACGCAAGUCUGAACCAGCCAUGUCGCGUGAAGGAUGACUGUCCUAUGGAUUGUAAACUUCUUUUAUAUGGGGAUAAAGUGUGAGACUUGUCUCAUUUUGCAUGUACCAUAUGAAUAAGCAUCGGCUAACUCCGUGCCAGCAGCCGCAGUAACAC
rnacentral:rRNA from 1 species